GGUGCGGGCUGGCACACAACAGCUAUGGGAAGCCAGUUCCAGGAGUCUGCCCUCAUGGUGCCCUAUGUUGUCCUCACCUGGAGCUCCCGUGGAUGAUGCUUCUGAGGGCAGCAACCAAGAGGUAACAUGGAAAAGUUGGUUUUGGUGGUCACUCAACCUUGAACAUCUCCUGGAUCUGCUACAGGUUCUAUCAAAGGCUACGUGUUCAGACACCUGGUGAUGCACAGACCCAUGCAUCAGGUCCAUGUGACUUUUGCAGGAGCCAUGUGAAAGCUUUUAUUUCUUCCAUGAUGGAUAUUUGUCAUCAGCUCAUGUGAAUGUUUUGGCGAACCAAAGGCUGGAUUGUUCUGUUUUGCUUGCUCGGAUUGUGAAAUGGGAAUAUCCGUAACAUGACAGGGCAUGAAAGAGCCUGAAAUGAAUUAAGGCUGUACUUUAAUGAAUGGGCUUUUCAUCUAGUGGAUUCUUUGUAAACAACUGUGGUAAAUCCACUUUCAGCAAAUCCAAAGGAUGGUUGACACAUGCAUUUCAUACGGGUGGCUCCUAGCAGACUAGAAAUGAUGAUGCAUCGUUACAGAUGGACCAUUUUUUCGGCAGAUGAGUGUUCUUGCUAUCCCAUUUCAGCUGGAAGAACUGCUCUGGUGUAGAGCCAAUACAGUAUGUACUGUGUUUCAUCUGAUUAUCUCAACUCAAAACCUGGACAGAUGAGAACAUUCUGAAGCUGGAUACUCCAGGGAUCAUCCAACCGACGCGGAUCUCUCAGCCUUCACUGGAAAGGGGGCAGGUUUCUACCUGCUGAAUUAUUUGACUGGAUUGUGCAAACACACCCCUAAUGAUUCCCACGGAUCACGCAACUGGAAUGAGAUGGGCUGCUGGAAGCAGCAGUUACUGAGAUCUGGCACUGGUCCUCUCUGAUUGUGUGGGACACGGAGUUCAGCAAGGGGCUGGAGGCCAAAGUCCUGGCACCUGCAGCCUGUCACCACACUCUUAAGCAGGUACUGAGAGGCGGUGGCAUGUGAAGCAUGCAAUACAAAGUGAUGCAGAGGAAUGUAAUGAAAGAUGCAGGAAGCUUAUGACACUUUUGCCUGGUUGGGACCCAUACAUGGAACACAGUCCAGAUCUGGCUCCAAAGAGCUUUCAGCAUCAAUCAACAAGACAAUGUGAAGAAGAGGAGGAGGAGAGAGGCAGUGUUACUUGCCCAAAUAUUAACUCAACAGUCUCUACAGGAGAAAGCCAGGUGUCAUUCUGUGUGCAGAAAUGGACUAAAAUGCUCUAAAAGCUCUUCAAAAAGGAGGUUGCCGUUUUGCUUUGUAGGCUUCACCCCUGGUUUCCCUCAAGACUAGGUGUGAAGGAAAAGUACAAGUGCUGCGCUCCUAUUCCUAUGGAUUUCAUAACGUGCAAAGCUUCAAUGGGCACCAGAGGUCCUGGAUUUAGCCAUCUUCACCUGCCUGGCUUGGAGGGGAAGAAUUCUUUCCCCGUGCUGUGGGGAUUUAGACACAUUGCUUUUCUGGCUCCACUUCAGCAACAAGCUCAGUGCUCAACAGCUGAUUUCCCUCUUCCUCCCGGGCCGCGUCUUGUGCGCGUUCACAUCACAUGGUGCUGCUGAUCUGUUUUCCUUUCUGCGUCCUGCUGAAGUAAAUGCCUAAAGAAUUAUUGUAUUAAUGACCUUGGACACUGCUAGAUAAGGAAACUAAAAACCCUGUGUCCAACUAAGAGGUGCCAGGUGUCUUUCCUCCACGUUCAGUGGCUGGGUUUGGGCAUAUUAAUCAGAAGUGAGAGUGUCAUUCCCCAACAUUAUUCUACCAGAGGAAACAUGGAUGAGAAACAGUCUGUGUGCAACUCCCAGGUGCAGAUGGAGGAGUCAGUUGUUACGUGCUACUCUGCUCGGUGGAUACGCGCCUGGCUACAUGUGUUCCCAUUGCCUCUUUUCACUUGAUACUGCUGAUAAGUGUCUGAGAAGAGGCAUGAUGGCCCGUGAAGAGCCAUAAAGGUAAAAAGAACCUGUCUGUAUUUCAUAUGUCAGAGAAAAGGAAGAAGUGUGAAUCAUCUCUCAGAUGACCACAAGCCAUAGGAGAACAAGCUGUAUGAACAGAAAUGAGUGGAACAAGAUGUACCUGUCCAUGGCAGAGGGGCAUACAUGCUGCGAGCAAGGGCAGACAUCCACACCAGCACACAGAGCAGAAUCACAGGAUCUUCAUGUUUGGAAAGGACUUCUGAGAUCACCGAGUCCAACCAUGCACACACAAAAGACCCCCACAGUACAACCUUGGCCACUAGAGCAUGCCUGAGCAGUGUCUGUCUUGGUACCUACAAGAACAUGAACAGUGCAGCCCAGUUCUUUUCCCCCCUCACUGAAUGAUCAGGAUGGGAGUUUGACAGUGGAGUAUAUAUACCUCCCUGGAAUAAAUAUGCUCUCUCCCGUAGCUGAUUUUGAGGCCUCAGUUUACCCUAUAUUUGGCCCCCAGACCCUGAUCUCCUCCAGGUGAUGACACCUGGACUCAUGGGUCCUUCAGACCUAUGGUCACUCCCUGCAGUCGCAAGUCCUCUGACCCCUUAUCACGCUUGCAAGCUAAACUAACAUGAACUUUCCUAGCACUCACAUGCGUGUUCAUACAUGAUACAUCAUUCAUGCAUGAUCUAGAGUUCAUACACAGGGAAUAUAGGAUAAACUGCAACGG